rnacentral:lncRNA from 1 species
GGAUGAGUUCAUCCCCCUUAACCCUGCCCUUGCUCUCCUACUCUCAUUCUUCACCUUCUACCUUCCAACAUGGCAUGCCUCAGCAAGAAGGCCUGCACCAGAUGUAGGUCCCUUGACCUUGGACUUCUCAGCCUCCAGGUGUGCACCACCACUCCCGGCUUAAGAAUUCUAAUCUGUACCUGGAUCAAAUGGGAUAGAUAACCUGUUCACUGUUGUUAGCUGUAGUUGAUGGAUAGUUGUAGUAUAUUGCAAAGAUGGGGAAAACAGAAAAAAAAU